GUCUUCGUGGGGUAAUGCAACCCGCUCCCAGUCUAUGCAGACGUAUGCUUAGAGAAUAAAUAUGGGAGAAACGGUGGUUCGAAUCCACCCGAGGACA